GUACACACAAUAGAAAUCCAAUAAUGGACUGGAGCGUCCAAACCAGGGUUUACUGAUUACAGCAUUUCUUAAGUAUGUGUAAAUGCGUU